rnacentral:rRNA from 1 species
UACGUAGGGCGCAAGCGUUAUCCGGAAUUAUUGGGCGUAGAGAGCGUGUAGGCGGCCAUACAGGUCAGCUGUGAAAACUCGAGGCUCAACCUCGAGACGUCGGUUGAAACCGUAUGGCUAGAGUCCGGAAGAGGAGAGUGGAAUUCCCGGUGUAGCGGUGAAAUGCGCAGAUAUCAGGAAGAACACCCGUGGCUAAGGCGGCUCUCUAGUACGGUACUGACGCUGAGACGCGAAAGCGUGGGGAGCGAACAGG